GACGAACGCUGGCGGCGUGCCUAAUACAUGCAAGUAGAACGCUGAAGGAGGAGCUUACUUCUCUGGAUGAGUUGCGAACGGGUGAGUAACGCGUAGGUAACCUGCCUGGUAGCGGGGGAUAACUAUUGGAAACGAUAGCUAAUACCGCAUAAGAGUAGAUGUUGCAUGACAUUUACUUAAAAGGUGCAAUUGCACCACUACCAGAUGGACCUGCGUUGUAUUAGCUAGUUGGUGGGGUAACGGCUUACCAAGGCGACGAUACAUAGCCGACCUGAGAGGGUGAUCGGCCACACUGGGACUGAGACACGGCCCAGACUCCUACGGGAGGCAGCAGUAGGGAAUCUUCGGCAAUGGACGGAAGUCUGACCGAGCAACGCCGCGUGUGUGAAGAAGGUUUUCGGAUCGUAAAGCUCUGUUGUAAGAGAAGAACGAGUGUGAGAGUGGAAAGUUCACACUGUGACGGUAUCUUACCAGAAAGGGACGGCUAACUACGUGCCAGCAGCCGCAGUAA
rnacentral:rRNA from 1 species